UACGAAGGGGGCUAGCGUUGCUCGGAAUCACUGGGCGUAAAGGGUGCGUAGGCGGCGCGGUAAGUCGGGUGUGAAAUCUUGGAGCUUAACUCCGAAACUGCAUUCGAUACUGCCGUGCUUGAGGACUGGAGAGGAGACUGGAAUUUACGGUGUAGCGGUGAAAUGCGUAGAUAUCGUAAGGAAGACCAGUGGCGAAGGCGGGUCUCUGGACAGGUUCCUGACGCUGAGGCACGAAGGCCAGGGGAGCAAACGGG
rnacentral:rRNA from 1 species